rnacentral:rRNA from 1 species
GACGAACGCUGGCGGCGUGCUUAACACAUGCAAGUCAAGGGGGCUCAGCAAUGGGCAACCGGCGAACGGGUGCGUAACACGUGAGCAAGCUUCCGAUUUGUGGGGGAUAGCCGGCCCAACGGCCGGGUAAUACCGCAUACGUUCACUGGACGGCAUCGUCUGGUGAGGAAACCUCCGGGGCAAAUCGAGGCGCUCGCGGCCUAUCAGCUAGUUGGCGGGGUAACGGCCCACCAAGGCGACGACGGGUAGCUGGUCUGAGAGGAUGGCCAGCCACGGUGGGACUGCGACACGGCCCAGACUCCUACGGGAGGCAGCAGUGGGGAAUAUUGCGCAAUGGACGAAAGUCUGACGCAGCGACGCCGCGUGUGGGAUGAAGCCUUUCGGGGUGUAAACCACUGUUGCCCGGGACGAACAUCCGCUUUCGAGCGGACUGACGGUACCGGGUGAGGAAGCACCGGCUAACUCUGUGCCAGCCGCCGCAGUAA